CCAAAUUUUUUCCCAAAACCUGAGACAGUCUCAGUGACUUGGUUAGCUGCCUUGUCGAUGGUUUCCUGAGUGGAUUUGGUGGCCUGGUCCAUGGCUGGGGAAGAAAAGGAGAGGACAGUUUAUAGGAAGAAGCUGAAGCACAGAGAGGGCAAGGAACUGCUGACAGGCCACCGGCCAGCCGUCACUGGGAUGUGGUGGGCAGAGGGGUGGGGAGAGUCAGGCCUGUCUGCACCUAUGUAGGAUUCUCCCCUACCCUGAAGCCCUGGGAAGCCCCACUUACCCAGGACCACUCUGCUAGCUCACUCUGUACCUGUAAUGGGAACGGGAGAAGGGUGUGGAAGCAGGGAAGGAGAGACUGAUGGUAAGACCGGGAGGGUCAGCCUCUGGUGGGAAGGGAUUGAUGGAGAUGUCAUUCCUGGGCAAGAGGAAGGGGCUUGCCCUGAGAUCAGUCGGGUGGGGAGAGGGACAACUACAUGGCUGCCACACCCACCCUGCCAGCUGGGCCAGGCUGUGAGCUGGGGUCUAGCCCAGAGCUGCAGAGAUGCUGUGAGGAACCUCCCAAGGGCUGGUCACCACUCUGAGUACCCAGCCUGGUUACCGCCCCAUUCCUGCCCACCCUCCCGAAAUCCCAUCAGUUAGCCUAAAAGACCUUU